rnacentral:tRNA from 1 species
GGGGGUUUGGCCGAGCGGAUAUGGCGUUAGUCUUGAAAACUAAUGGGCUUGGCCCGCGGGGGUUCGAAUCCCUCAGCCCUCU